rnacentral:rRNA from 1 species
UACAGAGACCUCAAGCGUUAUCCGGAAUCAUUGGGCGUAAAGCGUACCGAUAGGUGGUUUAACAAGUCAGAAGUGAAAUCUCCGAGCUCAACUCGGAAUCUGUCUUUUGAAACUGUUAAACUAGAGGGGCAAAGAGGAAGCUGGAACGAACGGUGUAGUAGUGAAAUGCGUUGAUAUCGUUCGGAACACCAAUAGCGUAGGCAGGCUUCUGGGUGCCACCUGACACUGCUAGGACGAAAGCGUGGGGAGCGAAUGGG